UGGGUAACCCACCCCGAUGACCGGGACAACCCGAGGAAACUCGGGCUAAUACCGGAUGUGCCGGCUUAUCAUCAGAUAAGUCAGUAAAGAUAGCUUCGGCCUUCGCAUCGGGACGGGCCCGCGGCCCAUUAGCUUGUUGGUGGGGUAACGGCCUACCAAGGCGACGAUGGGUAGCUGGUCUGAGAGGACGAUCAGCCACACUGGGACUGAGACACGGCCCAGACUCCUACGGGAGGCGG
rnacentral:rRNA from 1 species